GACGAACGCUGGCGGCGUGCCUAAUACAUGCAAGUUGAGCGAUGAAGAUUGGUGCUUGCACCAAUUUGAAGAGCAGCGAACGGGUGAGUAACGCGUGGGGAAUCUGCCUUUGAGCGGGGGACAACAUUUGGAAACGAAUGCUAAUACCGCAUAACAACUUUAAACAUAAGUUUUAAGUUUGAAAGAUGCAAUUGCAUCACUCAAAGAUGAUCCCGCGUUGUAUUAGCUAGUUGGUGAGGUAAAGGCUCACCAAGGCGAUGAUACAUAGCCGACCUGAGAGGGUGAUCGGCCACAUUGGGACUGAGACACGGCCCAAACUCCUACGGGAGGCAGCAGUAGGGAAACUUCGGCAAUGGAGGAAAGUCUGAACGAGCAACGCCGCGGGAGUGAAGAAGGUUUUCGGAUCGUAAAACUCUGUUGGUAGAGAAGAACGUUGGUGAGAGUGGAAAGCUCAUCAAGUGACGGUAACUACCCAGAAAGGGACGGCUAACUACGUG
rnacentral:rRNA from 1 species